CAACCCCCCCGUUUCCAGCCGCCUGACAGCGCAGCUGCGCAGGCGCGAAGACGCCCCAGCCUAACGUGCGUGUGUCGGGUUCAAGAAGAUGCUAGGAACUUGCCAUCCCUUUCCUCCAUCAAGCCGUUUAAACCUCCUGAAAUGUACCUGUGAUCCUUUGCUUCUGUUGGGAGAAAACUGUAAGUCAUCAGUCCUAGCACAAAUUAGCUUCAGGACAACGUGGGUGUUUCGUGGAGACCCAAGGCAGUAUAAUGAUCAUUUAACUUCAAAAGGUAUGUGGCAAGGUAAGAACAUUCAGACUAGUUGAAACAUAGAAACAUAACUGUUUCUUUUUUCUUUUAUUCAGUGUACUGGAUGGAUGUGAAACAAAUAUUUUCACCUGCUUCCUAGGAGGGUUUGAUGAUAAAACCCUCUCUGCUCAUGAAGACAGUGUAACUAGUUGGUGGCUAAAUUGUGUUCAACACUUAUUCAAUAAUGCUUUGUUGAGCAUCUAUCACUAGUACUCAUUAUUCUGGGUACUAGUUUACUUUUUAUGUAAAUGUAU